AUUGAACGCUGGCGGCAUGCUUUACACAUGCAAGUCGAACGGCAGCGGGGAGGAGCUUGCUUCUCUGCCGGCGAGUGGCGAACGGGUGAGUAAUACAUCGGAACGUGUCGAGAAGAGGGGGAUAACCACCCGAAAGGGUGGCUAAUACCGCAUAAAUUCUGAGGAAGAAAGCUGGGGACCUAGGAAUAGGCCUAGCGCUUUUUGAGCGGCCGAUGUCGGAUUAGCUAGUUGGUGAGGUAAAGGCUCACCAAGGCGAAGAUCUGUAGCGGGUCUGAGAGGAUGAUCCGCCACACUGGGACUGAGACACGGCCCAGACCCCUACGGGAGGCAGCAGUGGGGAAUUUUGGACAGUGGGGGCAACCCUGAUCCAGCCAUGCCGCGUGUAUGAAGAAGGCCUUAGGGUUGUAAAGUACUUUUGUUAGGGAAGAAAAGUCAGCUGUGAAUAAUGGCUGAUACUGACGGUACCUAAAGAAUAAGCACCGGCUAACUACGUG
rnacentral:rRNA from 1 species